rnacentral:tRNA from 1 species
UAGCUCAGUUGGUUAGAGCGUGGUGCUGAUAACACCAAGGUCGUGGGUUCGUUCCCCGU